UACGGGGGGGGCAAGCGUUGUUCGGAAUUACUGGGCGUAAAGGGCUCGUAGGCGGCCAACUAAGUCAGACGUGAAAUCCCCGAGCUCAACCCGGGAACUGCGUCCGAUACUGGCAGGCUUGAGUUCGGGAGAGGGAUGUGGAAUUCCAGGUGUAGCGGUGAAAUGCGUAGAUAUCUGGAGGAACACCGGUGGCGAAGGCGGCAUCCUGGACCGAUAUUGACGCUGAUGCGCGAAAGCCAGGGGAGCAAACGGG
rnacentral:rRNA from 1 species